ACCCCGAGACCAUGGGGAAGCUCGUGGCGCUGGUCCUGCUGGGGGUCGGCCUGUCCUUAGUCGGGGAGAUGUUCCUGGCGUUUAGGGUUGGGUUUUAUCUUCUACAGAGAAAGGGUGAAUGCCUCUCGAGAAGUGGAGCCAGUAGAACCUGAAAACUGCCACCUUAUUGAGGAACUUGAAAGUGGCUCUGAAGAUAUUGAUAUACUUCCUAGUGGGCUGGCUUUUAUCUCCAGUCUGCAGGUCUGUUGGAGUUUGCUGGAAGUCCACUCCAGACCCUGUUUGCCUGGGUAUCACCAGUGGAGGCUGCAGAACGGCAAAUAUUGCUGCCUGAUUUUUCUUCUGGAAGCUUCAUCCCAGAGGGGCAUCCGCCUGUAUGAG
rnacentral:lncRNA from 1 species